rnacentral:rRNA from 1 species
UACAGGCUAACACAUGCAAGUCGAGGGGCAGCAUUGGAGUAGCAAUACUUCAGAUGGCGACCGGCGCACGGGUGAGUAACACGUAUCCAACCUGCCGCUUACUCGGGGAUAGCCUUUCGAAAGAAAGAUUAAUACCCGAUGGUAUAAAGAGUUCGCAUGUUCUCUUUAUUAAAGAAUUUCGGUAAGCGAUGGGGAUGCGUUCCAUUAGAUAGUUGGCGGGGUAACGGCCCACCAAGUCUACGAUGGAUAGGGGUUCUGAGAGGAAGGUCCCCCCACAUUGGAACUGAGACACGGUCCAAACUCCUACGGGAGGCAGCAGUGAGGAAUAUUGGUCAAUGGACGAGAGUCUGAACCAGCCAAGUAGCGUGAAGGAUGACUGCCCUAUGGGUUGUAAACUUCUUUUAUAAGGGAAUAAAGUGAGGGACAUGUCCCUUUUUGUAUGUACCUUAUGAAUAAGGAUCGGCUAACUCCGUGCCAGCAGCUGC